rnacentral:rRNA from 1 species
AGGGUGAUAGUCCCGUACACCAAAAUGCACAGGCUGUGAACUCGAAGAGUAGGGCGGGACACGUGGUAUCCUGUCUGAAUAUGGGGGGACCAUCCUCCAAGGCUAAAUACUCCUGACUGACCGAUAGUGAACCAGUACCGUGAGGGAAAGGCGAAAAGAACCCCGGCGAGGGGAGUGAAAAAGAACCUGAAACCGUGUACGUACAAGCAGUGGGAGCACCUUCGGGUGUGACUGCGUACCUUUUGUAUAAUGGGUCAGCGACUUAUAUUCUGUAGCAAGGUUAACCGUAUAGGGGAGCCGCAGGGAAACCGAGUCUUAACUGGGCGUUAAGUUGCAGGGUAUAGACCCGAAACCCGGUGAUCUAGCCAUGGGCAGGUUGAAGGUUGGGUAACACUAACUGGAGGACCGAACCGACUAAUGUUGAAAAAUUAGCGGAUGACUUGUGGCUGGGGGUGAAAGGCCAAUCAAACCGGGAGAUAGCUGGUUCUCCCCGAAAGCU